AUAACUGGUGUCUGGCAUCUGACGCAGAGAGAGGACAUUUGUCACAACGGAGAGGCAGAGGUGAUUGAAGGCCUUCUGCCUGAACCAUUUAAAUGAA
rnacentral:sRNA from 1 species